rnacentral:lncRNA from 1 species
UGCAAUUUGCUAAAGUAGACAAAUGCUGGGAAAUUAGAUUAGGAUUUUAUUAUGGACAUUACUUCACUCUAAUUCACAUUUGCAGGAGAACCUCUAAAACAAAGAUCUGUACUUUGUUUUAUAACUGAAAAGGUAUACUGGUUUAUGAACUAUUCUGGAUUAGUAGAGGAGAUCCAAAAUUAGUUUAUAAACCAAUUUCCCCAAUCACAAAUUGAAGGUAUACUGGUUUACAGAGAAGCCUGUGUAGAGUAAAUCAAUUUGCAAAAUGACAUUUAGUCAUUUUAUUUUUAAUAAUUGUAUAAAUUGGUCUCAGAUAUUUGAAAUUUAAAGCAGUCACAUGUUAGUUUUUAAUUUAAAUAUAAACUUGUGUAAACUAGGUCUAAGCAAGUCUUUUGUGAUCAGUACGUGCAACAAAAGUUUCUAUACUUUUCUGAACCGGCUGAUUUUGCUUUGCGUCAUUUAUUGUCGUAUUUCAAUCAAU